rnacentral:rRNA from 1 species
AUUGAACGCUGGCGGAAUGCUUUACACAUGCAAGUCGAACGGCAGCACGGGGGCAACCCUGGUGGCGAGUGGCGAACGGGUGAGUAAUACAUCGGAACGUGCCCAGUCGUGGGGGAUAACGUAGCGAAAGUUACGCUAAUACCGCAUACGAUCUACGGAUGAAAGCGGGGGACCGUAAGGCCUCGCGCGAUUGGAGCGGCCGAUGUCAGAUUAGGUAGUUGGUGAGGUAAAGGCUCACCAAGCCGACGAUCUGUAGCUGGUCUGAGAGGACGACCGGCCACACUGGGGCGGGGACACGGGCCAGACUCCGACGGGAGGCAGCAGUGGGGAAUUUUGGACAAUGGGCGCAAGCCUGAUCCAGCCAUUCCGCGUGCAGGACGAAGGCCUUCGGGUUGUAAACUGCUUUUGUACGGAACGAAAAGGCUCUGGUUAAUACCUGGGGCUCAUGACGGUACCGUAAGAAUAAGCACCGGCUAACUACGUGCCAGCCGCCGCAGUAA